GCCUCUCUUACCGGAGUCCUGCUGUUUGCACAGUGCAGCUCUGCAGGAGUGCACUUUCUUUCUAACAGCUUCAUCUAACUUUGAGGGCUCCUCCCCCUGGCCUCCCUCCGAGGUUCUCUGGACAUUUAGGUAGUUUCCAAUUCUCUGUGGAAAUUAACCCCCAGGACUUCCAUCGUUAAAUACGAAAGUUUUCCCCACUUUCCUGAAAGUUACUGAGGACAAUUCUCAGAAGUGGACGUCAUGGGGCCCAAAGAACUGAGAGCUCUCUUUGAAGCGAUCAUCACAACUGUCUUCUAAAAGGCCUGUCCAGAGCCUGCCAGUACAACAUGGCCACCAUUAGGCAUCCCGCUGUGGGAAAAAUGUGUGUGUGUGUGUGUGUGCGCGCGCGCGCGCACGUGCUGUGAAGUGUGCAGAAGCCAAAGGUUUGCUUACCUGGCACUGGAACCCAAGAAAUAACCGAGACUCGCUAA
rnacentral:lncRNA from 1 species